GAUCCUGGCUCAGGAUGAACGCUAGCUACAGGCUUAACACAUGCAAGGUCGAGGGGCAGCAUGAGAUUAGCUUGCUAAUCUUGAUGGCGACCGGCGCACGGGUGAGUAACGCGUAUCCAACCUUCCCCCUACUCAGGCAUAGCCCGGUGAAAACCGGAUUAACUCCUGAUAGUUUCACUAGAUGGCAUCUGACGGUGAAUAAAGCUCAGCGGUAAGGGAUGGGGAUGCGUCUGAUUAGCUUGUUGGCGGGGUAACGGCCCACCAAGGCUACGAUCAGUAGGGGUUCUGAGAGGAAGGUCCCCCACAUUGGAACUGAGACACGGUCCAAACUCCUACGGGAGGCAGCAGUGAGGAAUAUUGGUCAAUGGGCGCGAGCCUGAACCAGCCAAGUAGCGUGCAGGAUGACGGCCCUAUGGGUUGUAAACUGCUUUUGUAUGGGAAUAAAGUCAGGGACGUGUCCCUGUUUGCAUGUACCAUAAGAAUAAGGACCGGCUAAUUCCGUGCCAGCCGCGGC
rnacentral:rRNA from 1 species